rnacentral:rRNA from 1 species
AAUCAACGCUGGCGGCGUGCCUCAGACAUGCAAGUCGAACGAUUAGACUUUCCUUCGGGAAAGAUAUAAAGUGGCGCACGGGUGAGUAACACGUAAGUAAUCUACCUUCGAGUGGGGAAUAACGUUCGGAAACGAACGCUAAUACCGCAUAAUGCAGCGGCACCUAAUGGUGACAGUUGUUAAAGGAGCAAUUCGCUUGAAGAGGAGCUUGCGGCAGAUUAGCUAGNGGUAAGGUAACGGCUUACCAAGGCUACGAUCUGUAACCGGUCUAAGAGGACGGUCGGUCACACUGACACUGAAUAACGGGUCAGACUCCUACGGGAGGCAGCAGUCGGGAAUUUUGGGCAAUGGGCGAAAGCCUGACCCAGCAACGCCGCGUGAAGGA